UACGGGGGGGGCAAGCGUUGUUCGGAAUUACUGGGCGUAAAGCGUGCGCAGGCGGCUUUGCAAGACAGAGGUGAAAUCCCCGGGCUCAACCUGGGAACUGCCUUUGUGACUGCAAGGCUAGAGUACGGCAGAGGGAGAUGGAAUUCCGCGUGUAGCAGUGAAAUGCGUAGAUAUGCGGAGGAACACCGAUGGCGAAGGCAAUCUCCUGGGCCUGUACUGACGCUCAUGCACGAAAGCGUGGGGAGCAAACAGG
rnacentral:rRNA from 1 species